ensembl:lncRNA
GGGAGGGGUAAUCUGAGCAGCCCCACGUUGGGUGGGGGGGGGGUUCUUUGGUGGGGGGACAGAUGGGGGAGUUUGUGGGUGUUGAGCGGGGAUGUAGUUAAGGCGGUGGGAUGGGCAGAGUUAAGGGGAUGGAUUGGGGCAGUUGUGGGGAUGGGAUGGCAGAGUUAAGGGGAUGGGAUGGGAUAGAGUUAAAUGGAUGGAAUGGGGCAGAGUUAAGGGGAUGGGAUGGGGUAGAUUAAGGGGAUGGAAUGGGGCAGAGUUAAGGGGAUGGGAUGGGGCAGAGUUAAGGGGAUGGGAUGGGGUAGAGUUAAAUGGAUGGAAUGGGGCAGAGUUAAGGGGAUGGGAUGGGGUAGAGUUAAAUGGAUGGAAUGGGGCAGAGUUAAGGGGAUGGGAUGGGGUAGAGUUAAAUGGAUAGAAUGGGGUUGAGUGAAAGGGAUGGGAUGGGCAGAGUUAAGGGGAUGGAAUGGGGCAGAGUUAAGGGGAUGGAAUGGGGCAGUUGUGGGGAUGGGAUGGCAGAGUUAAGGGGAUGGGAUGGGCAGAGUUAAGGGGAUGGGAUGGGCAGUUAAGCAGACUUGGCAGUGUCCAUUCGGGGAAGCUGUGGCCGUUUGCAGGGCACCCCACACGACUCCCCCAUGUCUCUGGGCAGGUGUCGGCCCGCAGCCCGCCGUGCCCCAGCGGUGCCUACACUCAGUCCGGCGAGUGCUGCUCCUCCUGCCCUCCAGGCUCCGGGACGGCCGUUCCCCACGGCCUCACCAGCACCCAGUGUGAGCCCUGCGCCCAGA